CCAAGUGAGCUUUUCUCAUCACUUGGCGUCCGUCGUCCGUCGUCGGCGUUAACUUUUUACAUUUUGAACUUCUUCUAGAGAACCACUGAAUGGAAUGAAACCAAACAUGGCAUGAAUGUUCCUUAUGAGGUGCUGACCAAGUGUUGUUACUUUGUAGCCGAUCCAUCAUCCAAGAUGGCCGCCAGCGGGGGACUUAGUUUAACAUAGGACCCUAUGGGAAAUGCAUACAAAUGACUUCUUUUAGAGAACCACUGAAUGGAAUGGAACCAAACAUGGCAUGAAUGUCCCUUAUGAGGUGCUGACCAAGUGUUGUUACUUUGCAGUCGGUCCAUCAUCCAAGAUGGCCGACAGCAGGGGACUUAGUUUAACAAAGGACCUAUGGGAAAUACAUACAAAUGUCUUCUUUUAGCGAACCACUGAAUGGAAUGAAACCAAACAUGGCAUGAAUGUUCCUUAUGAGGUGCUGACCAAGUGUUGUUACUUUGCAGUCGGUCCAUCAUCCAAGAUGGCCGACAGCAGGGGACUUAGUUUAACAAAGGACCUAUGGGAAAUACAUACAAAUGUCUUCUUUUAGCGAACCACUGAAUGGAAUGAAACCAAACAUGGCAUGAAUGUUCCUUAUGAGGUACUGACCAAGUGUUGUUACUUUGCAGUCGGUCCAUCAUCCAAGAUGGCCGCCAGCAGGGGACUUAGUUUAACAUAGGACCCUAUGGGAAAUACAUACAAAUGUCUUCUUUUAGAGAACCACUGAAUGGAAUGGAACCAAACAUGGCAUGAAUGUCCCUUAUGAGGUUCUGACCAAGUGUUGUUACUUUGUAGCCGAUUCAUCAUCCAAGAUGGCCGCCAGCAGGGGACUUAGUUUAACAUAGGACCCUAUGGGAAAUACAUACAAAUGUCUUCUUUUAGAGAACCACUGAAUAGAAUGAAACCAAACAUGGCAUGAAUGUUCCUUAUGAGGUGCUGACCAAGUGUUGUUACUUUGCAGUCGGUCCAUCAUCCAAGAUGGCCGACAGCAGGGGACUUAGUUUAACAAAGGACCUAUGGGAAAUACAUACAAAUGUCUCCUUUUAGCGAACCACUGAAUGGAAUGAAACCAAACAUGGCAUGAAUGUUCCUUAUGAGGUACUGACCAAGUGUUGUUACUUUGCAGUCGGUCUAUCAUCCAAGAUGGCCGACAGCAGGGGACUUAGUUUAACAAAGGACCUAUGGGAAAUACAUACAAAUGUCUUCUUUUAGAGAACCACUGAAUGGAAUGAAACCAAACAUGGCAUGAAUCUUCCUAAUGAGAUGCUGACCAAGUGUUGUUACUUUGUAGCCGAUCCAUCAUCCAAGAUGGCCGACAGCGGGGACUUAGUUUAACAUAGGACCCUAUGGGAAAUACAUACAAUUGUCUUCUUUUAGAGAACCACUGAAUGGAAUUGAACCAAACAUGGUAUGAAUGUUCCUUAUGAGUUGCUGACCAAGUGUUGUUACUUUGCAGUCGAUCCAUCAUCCAAGAUGGCCGCCAGCAGGGGGACUUAGUUUAACAUAGGACCCUAUGGGAAAUGCAUACAAAUGACUUCUUUUAGAGAACCACUGAAUGGAAUGAAACCAAACAUGGCAUGAAUGUUCCUUAUCAGGUGCUCACCAAGUGUUGUUACUUUGUAGCGGAUCCAUCAUCCAAGAUGGCCGCCAGCGGGGGACUUAGUUUAACAUAGGACCCUAUGGGAAAUGCAUACAAAUGACUUCUUUUAGAGAACCACUGAAUGGAAUAAAACCAAACAUGGCAUGAAUGUUCCUUAUGAGGUGCUGACCAAGUGUUGUUACUUUGUAGCCGAUCCAUCAUCCAAGAUGGCCGCCAUCGGGGAACUUAGUUUAACAUAGGACCCUAUGGGAAAUACAUACACAUGUCUUCUUUUAGAGUACCAGUGAAUGGAAUGAAACCAAACAUGGCAUGAAUGUUCCUUAUGAAGUGCUGACCAAGUGUUGCUACUUUGUUGCCGAUUUACUGUUCAAGAUGGCCACCAGGAUAUUUUAUUAAAUAACAGGACCAAUAUUAAUCAAAAUUUGGCCUCAAUCAUUAUUUGGGUAUCUGUUAUGAUUUUUAUCUAUCUUUACAUGAUUUCUAAAACCAAAGUAGAGUCAGGUGAGCGACACAGGCUCUUGAGAGCCUCU